rnacentral:rRNA from 1 species
GUGGGGAAUAUUGCACAAUGGGGGAAACCCUGAUGCAGCAACGCCGCGUGAGUGAUGACGGCCUUCGGGUUGUAAAGCUCUGUCUUCAGGGACGAUAAUGACGGUACCUGAGGAGGAAGCCACGGCUAACUACGUGCCAGCAGCCGCGGUAAUACGUAGGUGGCAAGCGUUGUCCGGAUUUACUGGGCGUAAAGGGAGCGUAGGCGGACUUUUAAGUGAGAUGUGAAAUACCCGGGCUCAACUUGGGUGCUGCAUUUCAAACUGGAAGUCUAGAGUGCAGGAGAGGAGAAUGGAAUUCCUAGUGUAGCGGUGAAAUGCGUAGAGAUUAGGAAGAACACCAGUGGCGAAGGCGAUUCUCUGGACUGUAACUGACGCUGAGGCUCGAAAGCGUGGGGAGCAAACAGGAUUAGAUACCCUAGUAGUCC